CAGAGGGGAUUUCCAAGGCGGGCUAGGAGCCGGGUGCAAAGGGGAUUUGCAAGGCGGAGCUAGAUGAUUGGCAUCCUAGUGCAGAGGGGAUUCCCAAGGUGGGGCUAGAUGAUUGACAUAUUCUAAUUUUCCAGCGCGGAGGGAGAUGGGCGUGUCCGAACUCCCAGCCCCCAGAUUUCCGUGGUUCUAAGGGCCCCCUCUGCAGAGGGACCAGGGAGCCCGCCCCGUAUCCCGUGGCGUUGCGCUUGGGGGACCCCAGAGCUCCGGCCAGUCCGCCUCCUUUGCGGAUCGUGAAGCUGAGGUGCAGAAGAGGGCAGGGGCAGGUCCCGGGAGCUCCCCGGGCAAAGGGAAGCCAAUCUUGGAGCUGGGGUCCAGGGCUCCACUCCUGCCACCUCCAGGGCCCGAGAGCCGGGAGGAGAGACCGGGGCCUUUUGUCCUCCGCUGGGGCCGGGCAGAGGCUCAGCCUGCGCCGCAAGGCGAGGCCGCUUCUGCGCAGUCCGAGCCGCGGCCCCUUUAAGAGGGGGUUGGGCGUCAGCCGGUCGCCAGGGACGCUGCAGCGCGCGGCUCUACGGAAGCCCAGACGGCGCCGCCCCGGGCCGGCAGAAGCCGCUGCGCCUUGGUCAGAGCGAGCGAAAGCGGCGGCGGCGCGGUCCCAGCGAGUUUCGGAGAAGCCGUGGUGGCUUCCACGUGACGGGGGAGCAGGAGGCAGGUUUCCGCGGUUUCUUCAUGCGGCUGCAGAUGGCAGGAUUUCCCAGAGCUCUAUGGCUGGAACGUACUCCGUGGUGUAUCCGUACAGCAGUUUCUUCAUCCCAGCAGCUGCAUGUGGACAGGUCAUAUACCAUGAUGUCUUCCAGGUUCAACAGUGUGGCUCCAAGUGAUGAAAUUUCAUUCUGGUUUUCCGGCUGAAGGCGAUUCUAUUUGUGUACAUCCACCAAGUAUCCCUUCAUCUGCGGAUGGGCAGGUUUUUCCAUGUGGCUGCAAGUGACGAGAUUUCGCCCAUUUCUAUGAUUGAAGAAUAUUCUUCUCUGGAUGUAUAUUGCAAUUUCCUCAUCCCUUCAUCAAUGGACGAACGGGACAACCAAGGUCUCCUCUGGACACCACGAGUCAGACCUUCCAAGAGACAGCAGCAGUCAUCAAAACCUCCUCACCAUGACAGCAAGCAAGGAGGAAGGAUCCUGAAGACCCUCGCUGGCCCCUCUCAGCAGGAAGUCGCUACAGAGAAUGACCUCUGCCCCAUCUACCAAAAGAUUUCUGGGUCCCAACUCCGGAGGAAGCAAUGUAAGGGCGGACAGUCAGAUGUGAGCAGGCACGAGAGGGAGGUAUCCAUGUUGGAAAGAACUCCCCGGAGCACCUCUCUGUUUGCCCAGUCCUCACUCCGUGGUCCAGCUGUCAGAAUGUUGUUAACUAGAUCCUGGUAAGGAAGGAAAAGGGCAGAAGGGGGAUUCCUGAGAGCUGAGCAGGCACAGUGGGCACAAAAUGGAAUGCCCUACCUUCCUGGGGUGGCAGUAAGAAGCAGUGCCACCAUUAGACAGGGUUCGUAUUGAUGACUGGUUCCCGUGCAUGUGUAUUAAGCACGGUAAGGGAGGAUCCCAGACUUCGGUGAGAACUGGGUAAAGAAAGAACGGAGGCAGCAGAAGAUCCCAGUGCACAAUGCCACGGGGGUGUCUCCAGCAGGGCCAGCCCACUCCUCUCCUGAAGUGUACUUGUACUUCCCAAAUAAACUUUUCUUGCUUUACAAAUUG